AUUGAACGCUGGCGGCAUGCCUUACACAUGCAAGUCGGACGGCAGCGCGGGCUUCGGCCUGGCGGCGAGUGGCGAACGGGUGAGUAAUACAUCGGAACGUGUCCUGUAGUGGGGGAUAGCCCGGCGAAAGCCGGAUUAAUACCGCAUACGAUCUACGGAGGAAAGCGGGGGAUCUUCGGACCUCGCGCUGUAGGGGCGGCCGAUGGCAGAUUAGCUAGUUGGUGGGGUAAAGGCCUACCAAGGCGACGAUCUGUAGCUGGUCUGAGAGGACGACCAGCCACACUGGGACUGAGACACGGCCCAGACUCCUACGGGAGGCAGCAGUGGGGAAUUUUGGACAAUGGGGGCAACCCUGAUCCAGCAAUGCCGCGUGUGUGAAGAAGGCCUUCGGGUUGUAAAGCACUUUUGUCCGGAAAGAAAACUUCGCCGCUAAUACCGGUGGAGGAUGACGGUACCGGAAGAAUAAGCACCGGCUAACUACGUGCCAGCCGCCGCAGUAACAC
rnacentral:rRNA from 1 species